UACGUAGGGUGCAAGCGUUGUCCGGAAUUAUUGGGCGUAAAGAGCUCGUAGGCGGUUUGUCGCGUCUGCUGUGAAAACGCGGGGCUCAACUCCGCGCCUGCAGUGGGUACGGGCAGACUAGAGUGCAGUAGGGGAGACUGGAAUUCCUGGUGUAGCGGUGGAAUGCGCAGAUAUCAGGAGGAACACCGGUGGCGAAGGCGGGUCUCUGGGCUGUAACUGACGCUGGAGGAGCGAAAAGCGUGGGGGAGCAAACAGG
rnacentral:rRNA from 1 species